rnacentral:misc_RNA from 1 species
GAUGAAGAACGUAGUGAAAUGCGAUACGUAAUGUGAAUUGCAAAUUCAGUGAAUCAUCGAGUCUUUGAACGCACAUUGCGCCCCCUGGUAUUCCGGGGGGCAUGCCUGUCCGAGCGUCAUUGCUGCCCUCAAGCACGGCUUGUGUGUUGGGCCCCGUCCUCCGAUCCCGGGGGACGGGCCCGAAAGGCAGCGGCGGCACCGCGUCCGGUCCUCGAGCGUAUGGGGCUUUGUCACCCGCUCUGUAGGCCCGGCCGGCGCUUGCCGAUCAACCCAAAUUUUUAUCCAGGUUGACCUCGGACCAGGUAGGGAUACCCGCUGAACUUAAGCAUAUCAAUAAGCGGAGGA